UCAUAUCUCUUGACUGAGUCGUCCUCUUUCUCUUAUUCUGCCAUAACACCUUGAUUGCCCAUGAUACUAUCUUGUCCAUGAUCGUUCCUGAUUACUCCAACCAUUUUCUCGAUCUUCGUCUUCCCAAGUGUUGAUGAAGUCCUUUCCCAACGAAGUCUUGUUUCCUCCCAUCUAUCCAGUCCAUACCACAGCCCAUUUCUCUGAAU
rnacentral:lncRNA from 1 species